AAAAAGAUUUCUGCUAAAGACAGAAUAACAGAAUUAGAUAUGAAUAAAGAAAUUUUUCAUAGAUUAAAUCUCAGGUACACUGGCAAAACUGGCCAAGUA